rnacentral:rRNA from 1 species
UACGAAGGGGGCUAGCGUUGCUCGGAAUCACUGGGCGUAAAGCGCACGUAGGCGGAUUGUUAAGUCAGGGGUGAAAUCCUGGAGCUCAACUCCAGAACUGCCUUUGAUACUGAGAAGCUUGAGUCCGGGAGAGGUGAGUGGAACUGCGAGUGUAGAGGUGAAAUUCGUAGAUAUUCGCAAGAACACCAGUGGCGAAGGCGGCUCACUGGCCCGGUACUGACGCUGAGGCACGAAAGCGUGGGGAGCAAACAGG